AGCAGUCUGUGAUGAAUUUAUUAAAAAAACUAGCUGAUUUUUCCAGUGAUUAUCAUAAAUAUAUUCACCAUCUUUCGGCUGAGACUGUU
rnacentral:snoRNA from 1 species